rnacentral:rRNA from 1 species
UGGGGAAUUUUGGACAAUGGGCGCAAGCCUGAUCCAGCCAUGCCGCGUGUGUGAAGAAGGCCCUCGGGUUGUAAAGCACUUUUCAGCGAGGAAGAACGCCUAACGGUUAAUACCCGCUAGGAAAGACAUCACUCGCAGAAGAAGCACCGGCUAACUCCGUGCCAGCAGCCGCGGUAAUACGGAGGGUGCAAGCGUUAAUCGGAAUUACUGGGCGUAAAGCGCGCGUAGGUGGCUUGAUAAGCCGGUUGUGAAAGCCCCGGGCUCAACCUGGGAACGGCAUCCGGAACUGUCAAGCUAGAGUGCAGGAGAGGAAGGUAGAAUUCCCGGUGUAGCGGUGAAAUGCGUAGAGAUCGGGAGGAAUACCAGUGGCGAAGGCGGCCUUCUGGACUGACACUGACACUGAGGUGCGAAAGCGUGGGUAGCAAACAGGAUUAGAUACCCCCGUAGUCCCUGAGCGGGCUGGCAAGGCGCAU